AGUAAUGAAUCGCUAAUGUACCCCGGACUCCGGGAUAGCUGCCCGAAAGGGCAGGUAAUACCGGAUGACAUAACCGCACGGCAUCGUGUGGUUCUCAAGGGUCCGCCGGUCUGGGAGCAGGCGAUUUCGUAUCAGCUAGUUGGUGAGGUAACGGCUCACCAAGGCGACGACGCGUAGCCGGACUGAGAGGCUGGCCGGCCACAUCGGGACUGAGACACUGCCCGG
rnacentral:rRNA from 1 species